rnacentral:lncRNA from 1 species
UUGAAGCUCACCGGUUUCAGAAGCCUGCUGGAUCAUUGGAAAUGCAUUGAAAUGAAUUCAUUGUCCAUGUGUUUAUGGAUGACUUCUGAAAGAAAAAUAGCAAUGUUUGACAUAAGGCCAAGAAAUAGACCAAACUUCCUCAGAACGGAAUGUGAUUUUAGCAAGCUUCCAAAAUUCCAGUUGCUCAUUGAAGCUUAGUGAAGAUAGUCAGACCUCGUGGGAUGGAAAUAGAGGCUGAACAGCACACAGAGAUGCAGAGCCAUCCUGUGAAUAUUUUGGUCUAAGCUGGGGUAAGUCCUUUUCUCAAGGUCCUGACCAGGUCCUUAGGAAUAUGCUGAGCUUAAAACCCUUCCCUUUAAGUUUUUGAAUCUCAAAGAAAAGUGUCCUUUGGAGAUGUUGGAUGAAAGUUGAACAUCGGUAGGUGAAACUCUUUGAGCACUUUGCAAACUACUGCAGCCAGACAGCUCUUUGCAUGAAUUCUGAACUGAAGAAUGUCAUUCAAAUUCUUCUGGGCCCAUUUUCUACCACUCCAAAAGGAAAUGCCCAGAGGAAGGGAAGCCUUGGGAAAACAGAAAUAUUAGGAGGAAGCUGUGAUUUCCAAAUGGCAAGACAGCCCCACCAUCAAUACUUGAAGUUGGUAAGAUAAAUGACGCACUGGAGAGAAUGAGGAUUUGAGGAGUUUAUUGCUUAUAUUUGCAUUGAAGAGACCAGAGUCAGAUAAAUGGAAAAGAGAAUAAUGCAAGACUUGUGGAUGUUGGAUUCAUAAAAAAGAAAGCAAAUGAAAGCUGGAGAUGCCUAAAAAAGACUUCUUAUAUGCCAUGAGAGAUAAGGGCUCCCCUUCUGACAUUAGCAUCUAUUAUCUUCCUGGCUGAAUUCUUCCCUAAAGGGCGCUCGGCAUCCCUAGGUGGUUGCCAGUGUCAAGGCAACCUCACCAACUGUGAAGGUAUCCUGAGCUCCUGGAACAGGCAGAAAAGAAACCUGGCAGGAAGAUUUGGAGGUGGCUGCAAGCUGGCCUGACUUCUGCAGUGAAACAAGUCCCAGGAGCUGGAGGUACACCAUGCUGAGCUCCUGUUUCCUUGGUAGUAAGAGGAGGGGGACUUCCUGGCCUAAGACACAUCUUUCAGGUUGGAGUUGUAAUGACAGUGGUAAUUUUCAACUGUGGAUUAUUGUAAGCUGUUCCAAGCAAGCAUGGAUGACUCCAUUUCAUGGACUGCAGAAAUUCUGUGCCUGUCCUGUCCAGUGAUUGAGUCAUAUCUGGUGCAGGGUAUGGACAAAACAUCUGUAAAAGAAACAGCCCGUAGUAUACAAUAAGAAGGUAAAGAUGUCAAAUAUUUUUAUCUUUUAUUUUUCAGGUAACAAAAAUAUUUUUUUUCCAGACAAAAUCUCCCUUGGAAAUUCACUAUACUAUAUGUAA